CGCGUCACCGUGGGACUGGCCGAGACGGGCAACGGCACCGUGGUGGUGAGCUGGGAGCCGCCUCCGCAGGACACCCACAACGGCAUCAUCCGCGGCUACAAGGUCUGGACCCUGGGCAACAGCUCCCACCAUCACACCAACAGGACGGUGGAUGGAGGCACCCACCGCCUGGAGACCCUCCUGCUGGGCCCCGGGGCCACCUACUGCAUCCAGGUGGCAGCUUUCAACGGCGCGGGGCUGGGGGUGCCCAGCAAUGCCACCUGCAGCGUCCUGGAGCCUCUCCUGGAGGCCGUGGCCCAGGGGGACCCGG